rnacentral:rRNA from 1 species
AUUGAACGCUGGCGGCAGGCCUAACACAUGCAAGUCGAGCGGAGCGGCGGACGGGUGAGUAAUGUAUGGGGAUCUGCCCGAUAGAGGGGGAUAACUACUGGAAACGGUGGCUAAUACCGCAUACUAUCGGAUGAACCCAUAUGGGAUUAGCUAGUAGGGGGGGUAAAGGCCUACCAAGGCGACGAACCGUAACUGGUCUGGGAGGAUGAUAAGUCAAACUGGAACUGAGACACGGUCCAGACUCCUACGGGAGGCAGCGGGGGGGAAGAUUGGACAAUGGGCGAAAGCCUGAUCCAGCCAUGCCGCUGGUGUGAAGAAGGUCUUCGGAUUGUAAAGCACUUUAAGUUGGGAGGCGUUACCAACAGAAUAAGCACCGGCUAACUUCGUGCCAGCAGCCGCGGUAAUAC